GCAAGUCGAACGAGAACAGUCCUUCGGGACCUAGUAAAGUGGCGCCCGGGUGCGUAAAACGUAGGUACUCUACCCUUUGGCGGGGGAUAACGUCUCGAAAGAGACGCUAAUACCGCAUAAGACCACAGUCCCUGCGGGGACAGUGGGAAAAGGUGGCCUCUCCAUGGAAGCUACCACCGAAGGAUGAGCCUGCGCACCAUCAGCUAGUUGGUAAGGUAAUGGCUUACCAAGGCUAAGACGGGUAGCUGGUCUGAGAGGAUGAUC
rnacentral:rRNA from 1 species